rnacentral:rRNA from 1 species
GAUGAACGCUGGCGGCGUGCCUAAUACAUGCAAGUCGAGCGAACAGACGAGGAGCUUGCUCCUCUGACGUUAGCGGCGGACGGGUGAGUAACACGUGGAUAACCUACCUAUAAGACUGGGAUAACUUCGGGAAACCGGAGCUAAUACCGGAUAAUAUAUUGAACCGCAUGGUUCCAUAGUGAAAGACGGUUUUGCUGUCACUUAUAGAUGGAUCCGCGCCGCAUUAGCUAGUUGGUAAGGUAACGGCUUACCAAGGCAACGAUGCGUAGCCGACCUGAGGGCGUGGUUGGCCACACUGGAUGUGAGACUCGGUCCACACACCGACACGGGGACGCGGUAGGGACUCUUCCGGGAUGGGCGAGAGCGUGACGGAGCAAAGCCGCGGAAGUGCUGAAGGUCUUCGGACCGGUAAACUAUGUUAUUAGGGAGAAACAAAUGUGUAAGUACCUAUGCACAUAUUGACGGUACCUGGUCAGAAAGCCCCGGCUAACUACGUG